rnacentral:rRNA from 1 species
UACGGGGGGUCCAAGCGUUAUCCGGAAUCAUUGGGUUUAAAGGGUCCGUAGGCGGUUUUGUAAGUCAGUGGUGAAAGCCCAUCGCUCAACGGUGGAACGGCCAUUGAUACUGCAAGACUUGAAUUAUUAGGAAGUAACUAGAAUAUGUAGUGUAGCGGUGAAAUGCUUAGAGAUUACAUGGAAUACCAAUUGCGAGGGCAGGUUACUACUAAUAUAUUGACGCUGAUGGACGAAAGCGUGGGGAGCGAACAGG